rnacentral:rRNA from 1 species
AACGAACGCUGGCGGCAUGCCUAACACAUGCAAGUCGAACGAGACCUUCGGGUCUAGUGGCGCACGGGUGCGUAACGCGUGGGAACCUGCCCUUAGGUUCGGAAUAACUCCCCGAAAGGGGUGCUAAUACCGGAUAAUUUCUUCGGACCAAAGAUUUAUCGCCUUUGGAUGGGCCCGCGUUGGAUUAGCUAGUUGGUAGGGUAAAAGCCUACCAAGGCGACGAUCCAUAGCUGGUCUGAGAGGAUGAUCAGCCACACUGGGACUGAGACACGGCCCAGACUACUACGGGAGGCAGCAGUGGGGAAUAUUGGAAAAUGGGCGAAAGCCUGAUCCAGCAAUGCCGCGUGAGUGAUGAAGGCCUUAGGGUUGUAAAGCUCUUUUACCCGGGAUGAUAAUGACAGUACCGGGAGAAUAAGCUCCGGCUAACUCCGUG